rnacentral:lncRNA from 13 species
GAAGAAAGUGCAACGCAUGGGCAUCUGCCCUUUCAUUUCUAAAGAUUCUGAGAUUUAAUUGAAUAUUCUCGUUCUGUCAGCUGUGAGACUGGAAUUUUGCUGAUCAAGAUUAGCUUGAUCUGGAAAGUAUCAUUUACAUUUAUUUCCCCAUGAUAUAUUUUAAUGCUAUGUCUGGGAUGCACCCUCCCUCUAGACUGACCAGUCCACAGCUGUGGGUGAUGCAUGCUAAAGAGGCAGCCAGUGAAAGCUGCUCAUUGCCCACAUGCAGGCCCAGUCUGGACAUGUAUGGACCCUUAAUGAGUUGUCAUGAGUCACAAGAGCAUUUCGGAAAAAAAAAAUGUGAAUUUCAAGUGUUUCAUGACCUUUAAUACUACAGUAAGUUAUUGAAAUUUUUGUGGUUUUUAUUGGUGAGUGGGGGAAAAAGUGUGUGUGUGUGUGUGUGUGUGAUUAUCUACAUAAUGAAAGGGAGCAUUGUGGAGAUGAUUCCAAAGAGUGGGUAAUAUCGAUGCCAUUUACAUUUGGCUUUGGAAUUCCGUUUGUGGUUUUUCUUUGGGCAGACGAUUUUUUUUUAAGGUGAGAUUUUCUUCUACUUGUUUCCCUUUUCUGAGCUGCCAACAACUCUGGGUUGGAAGUACCAUAAAAGCAAACCAAUCUGCUCAAGAAAGUUUGAAGUACAAUCUUCAUGUAAAUCACCAAACACUAAUGCUAACGACAAUGUGAUGAUGUCCUCAACUAAGCUUUAUUGAUCGUUCACUAUAUACCUGGUGCGUUGGUAAGUUCCUUGAGGAGAACCACAGUAUCUACAUCAAGGAUUUGCUGUGAAAAUUUAGUACAGACAGAGCAAUUGAAAAGAUGCUGAACAUGUAAAAACACAUUAGCUAUUAUUGCCAUGCGUAAGCUCAUUUAAUCUUUAUAACAAUUCUCUACGGUUGGUGCUAUCAUUGACACCAUUUUGCAGAUGAGUAAACUGAAGGGCAGAUGAAAUAACUUCCCCAAGAUCAAGAUCACACUAAUAAGUGGAAGAGCCAGGAAUAGAACCCAGGCAGUCUGAGUCCUGAUCAAACCUGUUCAGAUUGUUUGAAUUUCUCUAUUUUACUAUUUUUCUUUGUUUUACUAGCUUCAUAAUUCCAAUAAGUUUUUAAUGUCUUAGAAUUAUUUAUAUUUGCAUUUGACUAAAGCUCAGGAGAGCUAUGAUUAAUUGACUCUGUGUGUUUGCUCAAGUUACUGUACAUCCCGGUAUUUUAAUCCUUAGCUGCAAAAGAAAGGAGAUGAACUAAAUGUUCACUAAGGAUCCUCCCAAUACUAUGAACGUCCCAUAAGCCUAUAAGGUUUAUACUCUCAAGCAAUUUACCUGGUUUCACUUGACCUCCAGACAAAAGAAAUUGGUUUAAAUUGUACCAGAAGGAUUUUUUUUUUUUUGGUAAGAAGGUUUUCCUGGAAAUAAGGGAGUAAAAGACUGAAAAGAGAAGCUUUUAAAUCUCCUUAUCUAGAACUCUGUAAGAAAAGGGUCAAGGCUACUACUUAGAAUUGUCAGGAGGCUCUUAUUGCCUAGAGGCUGAACACAAAGUAGGUUAUAGAUUUCUUGCAGCUAAAUAGUUCAAUUUUUCAAUGAUGUUAACUCCACAGUAACUGUUAAGGUUUACAGGCCUAGUCAAAUAAUUUGAGCACCAAGCUGUGAGCUUAGUUUCAGGAAAAGGAGGCAGACAUAGGUAACACUCACAUUCCCACCCGCCUGAGACAAGGCAGAUACAUCAGUGGAAGGUGCUCUCUGGGCUGUGGCGGGAAGGAAGGACAUCAGUGGCUCUGCUUUGGCCCAAGGCUAAAUUGUGAAAUAGACUGGGUUUCCUUCAGGUCCCUCCAGCCAUAUCCCAGGGUACUGGGCUCUUCCCUGAAGGAAGUCCUGUGCUCCUGAGCAGGACCUGCCCUUGCCCAUUGCCUGCAGCAUCUACUGCUAGCCUUUCUGUCUUUCCUUCCCUCCCAAAUCCAUUUCCUCAGGUAUCACACUUUGGUAGGAAAGGACCCACGAUGACUCAACAUGUAAUGCCUUGAAGAUAACAUUAGUGCUUUCCUAGUCACCAUCAAUAAAGAAGUGAAAAGUUUAACA